rnacentral:rRNA from 1 species
GGGCCAGACUCCUACGGGAGGCAGCAGUGGGGAAUAUUGCACAAUGGGGGAAACCCUGAUGCAGCGACGCCGCGUGAAGGACGAAGUAUUUCGGUACGUAAACUUCUAUCAGCAGGGAAGAAAAUGACGGUACCUGACCAAGAAGCCCCGGCUAACUACGUGCCAGCAGCCGCGGUAAUACGUAGGGGGCAAGCGUUAUCCGGAUUUACUGGGUGUAAAGGGAGCGUAGACGGCCAUGCAAGUCUGAUGUGAAAACCCGGGGCUCAACCCCGGAACUGCAUUGGAAACUGUAUUUCUAGAGUGUCGGAGAGGCAAGUGGAAUUCCUGGUGUAGCGGUGAAAUGCGUAGAUAUCAGGAGGAACACCAGUGGCGAAGGCGGCUUGCUGGACGAUGACUGACGUUGAGGCUCGAAAGCGUGGGGAGCAAACAGGAUUAGAUACCCUGGUAUG